UACGGAGGGUGCAAGCGUUAUCCGGAUUCACUGGGUUAAAGGGUGCGUAGGUGGGCUUGUAAGUCAGUGGUGAAAUCUCCGUGCUUAACAUGGAAACUGCCAUUGAUACUAUGGGUCUUGAAUUAUCUGGAGGUUAGCGGAAUAUGUCAUGUAGCGGUGAAAUGCUUAGAUAUGACAUAGAACACCAAUUGCGAAGGCAGCUGGCUACAGGUACAUUGACACUGAGGCACGAAGCGUGGGA
rnacentral:rRNA from 1 species